CUGAGAUCAUGACCUGAGCCAAUAUCAAGAGUUGGACACUUAACCAACUGAGCCACCCAGUUUUGACAGUUUUUGGUGUCAGAAAUGGGAUCUGAAGAAGACCCCUAAAGAGCCCUCAGAUUCCAGGUAGCACACGAUUGAUGUCUUCAGGAGCAACUGGUCACGGUUACAAAAGUAGAGGCCCCACCAGAACGAUUUUAUGUGUAAUGUAUUAAACUUACCAAUGCGUUUUAACUUUUUAUGUUACAAAUUUCAUAACAUUCUCUCUUUAUCAGUGCUAAUUUUAUGUGAUACUACAUAGAACCAAUUUCUCUAAAAGAAUUGAUUCAAAUAAAAGUAUAUCUGCCUUUUCUAAAAACAAUGUAAUAUCCAGAUGCCUGGGAUGUAUUUCAAGGUAGGAAUCAUAUUUACUUCAGUUUUUUUUUUUCCUAUAACUGGUAAAAGAGGAAAUACUGAGAAAAUGCUUGUUGACCAACUGAAUGCAUGGAUGCUAAGCAUAAUUCAGAAUUCCAGAAAUUUCUAGAGAAUACCAGAUCCUUAAAGAAGCUACCAUUUACUUCUAGUCUCCCCCUUUUCUGAAAAUAGUAUGGAGAUGGAAAGAUUCAAAACUAGUCAGUUUCACAUCCUUCUUUAUUCAGCAACAUUAUCCUCAAGAGAAAUAAUAGCACUAAGAUAAAAUCCUUGUUUAUUCUAAUUACAUUGGACAGAAAAACUGAACGAGGAUGUGUUACUCUUUGCUGUUGUCUAAAGUCCUUAACUUUAAUAAACUCUAGCAUGAACCAUUUCCAAUUAACAUAGAAAUAGCAGAUUAAAAAAUGUCUUUUGUGUAUGUAACGUCAACUCAGUAUUAACUCCAUUCAUUGAAAACUGAAAACUUCUAAUAUGGUAAGAGAAGAUCAGAUGCUGGAAAAUAAUACUGACUGGCCUCAUUUUAAACUGAUAAUCACAACCUCAAGUGGCUCUGAGUGAUGCCUCACUGUCCUACGUCUAGUCACUGUCACCUGAGAUGACUGUAUUGGACCUUCUUUCUCUUCACACCUCCAGUAACUCCUGCCUCUCUUCAAUCUCAGCUGCUUAUUUCACUGGGGAAGAAAAAAAAUCACAGGAGGACUUCUACAAGUGCUCACCACCAAGCUGUCCUACCUCCACCUGUACUCACACCCUGUCUUCCCACUUGUCCUAGUCCAUUUGGCCUGAUGUAACAAAUUGUUACCACAGACUCAGUGGCAUAUAACAACAAAGAUUUCCUUCUUGUGGUUCUGAAGGCUGGAAGUCCAAGAUCGGUGCCAUUAUGGUUGGGUUCUGGUGAAGACUUUAUGGGUUGCAGACUGCUGACUUCUCACUGGGUCUUCACAUGGUGGAGUGGGUGAGGGAUCUCUCCAGAGUCUCUUUUAGAAGGGCACUAAUCCCGGGGCGCCUGGGUGGCACAGCGGUUAAGCGUCUGCCUUUGGCUCAGGGCGUGAUCCUGGUGUUAUGGGAUCGAGGCUCCUCUGCUGUGAGCCUGCUUCUUCCUCUCCCA